rnacentral:rRNA from 1 species
UACGGAGGGUGCAAGCGUUGUUCGGAAUUAUUGGGCGUAAAGGGCGUGUAGGCGGUGUGGUAAGUCAGAUGUGAAAGCCCUGGGCUUAACCCAGGAAGUGCAUUUGAAACUGCCAUGCUUGAGUAUGGGAGAGGAGAGUGGAAUUCCCAGUGUAGAGGUGAAAUUCGUAGAUAUUGGGAGGAACACCCGUGGCGAAGGCGACUCUCUGGACCAAUACUGACGCUGAGGCGCGAAAGCGUGGGGAGCAAACAGG